rnacentral:rRNA from 1 species
ACCAGACUCCUACGGGAGGCAGCAGUGGGGGAUAUUGCACAAUGGGGGAAACCCUGAUGCAGCGACGCCGCGUGGGUGAAGAAGUAUUUCGGUAUGUAAAGCCCUCUCAGCAGGGAAGAAAGAAGACGGUACCUGACUAAGGAGCCCCGGCUAACUACGUGCCAGCAGCCGCGGUAAUACGUAGGGGGCGAGCGUUAUCCGGAUUCACUGGGUGUAAAGGGAGCGUAGACGGCCGUGCAAGCCAGGAGUGAAAGCCCGGGGCCCAACCCCGGGACUGCUCUUGGAACUGUGCGGCUGGAGUGCGGGAGGGGCAGGCGGAAUUCCUGGUGUAGCGGUGAAAUGCGUAGAUAUCAGGAGGAACACCGGCGGCGAAGGCGGCCUGCUGGACCGCGACUGACGUUGAGGCUCGAAAGCGUGGGGAGCGAACAGGAUUAGAUACCCGCGUA